rnacentral:rRNA from 1 species
CAAUAGCGUAUAUUAAAGUUGUUGCGGUUAAAAAGCUCGUAGUUGGAUUUCUGCUGAGGAUGACCGGUCCGCCCUCUGGGCAGGUAUCUGGCUCAGCCUUGGCAUCUUCCUGAAGAACGCAGCUGCACUUGACUGUGUGGUGCGGUAUUUAGGACAUUUACUUUGAGGAAAUUAGAGUGUUUCAAGCAAGCGCACGCCUUGAAUACAUUAGCAUGGAAUAAUAAGAUAGGACCUCGGUUCUAUUUUGUUGGUUUCUAGAACUGAGGUAAUGAUUGAUAGGGAUAGUUGGGGGCAUUCGUAUUUAACUGUCAAAGGUGAAAUUCUUGGAUUUGUUAAAGACGGACUACUGCGAAAGCAUUUGCCAAGGAUGUUUUCAUCGA